GACGAACGCUGGCGGCGUGCCUUACACAUGCAAGUCGAACGGCAGCGGGGGAGAAGCUUGCUUUUCCUGCCGGCGAGUGGCGAACGGGUGAGUAAUACAUCGGAACGUGCCCUGUAGUGGGGGAUAACUAGUCGAAAGAUUAGCUAAUACCGCAUACGACCUGAGGGUGAAAGUGGGGGACCGCAAGGCCUCAUGCUAUAGGAGCGGCCGAUGUCUGAUUAGCUAGUUGGUGGGGUAAAGGCCUACCAAGGCGACGAUCAGUAGCUGGUCUGAGAGGACGAUCAGCCACGCUGGGACUGAGACACGGCCCAGACUCCUACGGGAGGCAGCAGUGGGGAAUUUUGGACAAUGGGCGAAAGCCUGAUCCAGCAAUGCCGCGUGUGUGAAGAAGGCCUUCGGGUUGUAAAGCACUUUUGUCCGGAAAGAAAUGGCUCUGGUUAAUACCUGGGGUCGAUGACGGUACCGGAAGAAUAAGGACCGGCUAACUACGUGCCAGCCGCCGCGGUAA
rnacentral:rRNA from 1 species